GAUGAACGCUAGCGGCAGGCCUAAUACAUGCAAGUCGAGGGGUAGAAGAGGCUUGCUUCUUUGAGACCGGCGCACGGGUGCGUAACGCGUAUGCAACCUACCUUCAUCUGGGGGAUAGCCCGGAGAAAUCCGGAUUAAUACCGCAUAAAAUCACAGGAUGGCAUUAUCCAAUGAUCAAACAUUUAUGGGAUGGAGAUGGGCAUGCGUGUCAUUAGCUAGUUGGCGGGGUAACGGCCCACCAAGGCGACGAUGACUAGGGGAUCUGAGAGGAUGGCCCCCCAAACGGGUACUGAGACACGGACCAGACUCCUACGGGAGGCAGCAGUAAGGAAUAUUGGUCAAUGGAGGCAACUCUGAACCAGCCAUGCCGCGUGCAGGAAGACUGCCCUAUGGGUUGUAAACUGCUUUUAUUCGGGAAUAAACCUUAUUACGUGUAAUAAGCUGAAUGUACCGAAGGAAUAAGGAUCGGCUAACUCCGUGCCAGCCGCCGCUGUAA
rnacentral:rRNA from 1 species